GCACUCCACCUCCUGACAACAAAGACAAAGGAGCUUUAUGGAUCCUUCUGGGCGUUGGGGGCCUUGUUGCCAUCUGCAUCUACAAACAUAAGAAGCGUAAAUUCGCUAAAAAAGAUCUUUGUAAUUUAUUGAAUUGUCAUUGAAAGGUGCCAGUUUCAUGACUGUAAAUCCUUAUACUGAAGAUGUUGAUGUGAUUUAUUGUAUUAAUGAAACAUUUUGAACCUCUCAGAUGGCAAUAAAAAAUAUUCUGUAAAUUAAAA